rnacentral:rRNA from 1 species
GUAGGGUGCAAGCGUUAUCCGGAAUCAUUGGGCGUAAAGAGCUCGUAGGCGGUUCAGCAAGUCGGCUGUGAAAGUCCGAGGCUCAACCUCGGAACUGCAGUCGAUACUGCUGUGACUCGAGUCCGGUAGAGGAGAAUGGAAUUCAGGGUGUAGCGGUGAAAUGCGCAGAUAUCCUGAGGAACACCAGUAGCGAAGGCGGUUCUCUGGGCCGGUACUGACGCUGAGGAGCGAAAGCGUGGGUAGCAAACAGGAUUAGAUACCCUGGUAGUCCACGCCCGUAAACGUUGGACACUAGGUGUGGCGUUCCCGACCAACGGGUGCCGUGCCGAAGCUAACGCAUUAAGUGUCCCCGCCCUGGGGAGUACGGCCGCAAGGCUA